rnacentral:rRNA from 1 species
GACGAACGCUGGCGGCGUGCUUAACACAUGCAAGUCGAACGCUGAAGCUUGGUGCUUGCACUGGGUGGAUGAGUGGCGAACGGGUGAGUAAUACGUGAGUAACCUGCCCUUGACUCUGGGAUAAGCCUGGGAAACUGGGUCUAAUACUGGAUACGACAUGUCACCGCAUGGUGGUGUGUGGAAAGGGUUUUACUGGUUUUGGGUGGGCUCACGGCCUAUCAGCUUGUUGGUGGGGUAAUGGCUCACCAAGGCGACGACGGGUAGCCGGCCUGAGAGGGUGACCGGCCACACUGGGACUGAGACACGGCCCAGACUCCUACGGGAGGCAGCAGUGGGGAAUAUUGCACAAUGGGCGGAAGCCUGAUGCAGCGACGCCGCGUGAGGGAUGACGGCCUUCGGGUUGUAAACCUCUUUCAGCACGGAAGAAGCGAAAGUGACGGUACGUGCAGAAGAAGCGCCGGCUAACUACGUG